rnacentral:rRNA from 1 species
GAGUUUGAUCCUGGCUCAGAACGAACGCUGGCGGCAGGCCUAACACAUGCAAGUCGAACGAGAAGCCACCUUCGGGUGGUGGACAGUGGCAGACGGGUGAGUAACGCGUGGGAACGUGCCUUUCGGUUCGGGAUAACCCAGGGAAACUUGGGCUAAUACCGGAUACGCCCUCCGGGGGAAAGAUUCAUCGCCGAAAGAUCGGCCCGCGUCGGAUUAGCUAGUUGGUAGGGUAAUGGCCUACCAAGGCGACGAUCCGUAGCUGGUCUGAGAGGAUGACCAGCCACACUGGGACUGAGACACGGCCCAGACUCCUACGGGAGGCAGCAGUAGGGAAUCUUGCGCAAUGGGCGAAAGCCUGACGCAGCGACGCCGCGUGAGGGAAGAAGGCCUUCGGGUUGUAAACCUCUUUCAGGAGGGACGAAGCCACUCGGGUUAAUAGCCUAGAGGGUGACGGUACCUCCAGAAGAAGCCCCGGCUAACUACGUGCCAGCAGCCGCGGUACGCC